GAUGAACGCUGGCGGCGUGCCUAAUACAUGCCAGUCGAGCGAACAGAUGAGGAGCUUGCUCCUCUGACGUUAGCGGCGGACGGGUGAGUAACACGUGGCUAACCUACCUAUAAGACUGGGAUAACUUCGGGAAACCGGAGCUAAUACCGGAUAAUAUAUUGAACCGCAUGGUUCAAUAGUGAAAGACGGUUUUGCUGUCACUUAUAGAUGGAUCCGCGCCGCAUUAGCUAGUUGGUAAGGUAACGGCUUACCAAGGCAACGAUGCGUAGCCGACCUGAGAGGGUGAUCGGCCACACUGGAACUGAGACACGGUCCAGACUCCUACGGGAGGCAGCAGUAGGGAAUCUUCCGCAAUGGGCGAAAGCCUGACGGAGCAACGCCGCGUGAGUGAUGAAGGUCUUCGGAUCGUAAAACUCUGUUAUUAGGGAAGAACAAAUGUGUAAGUAACUAUGCACGUCUUGACGGUACCUAAUCAGAAAGCCACGGCUAACUACGUG
rnacentral:rRNA from 1 species